UACGGGGGGGUAAGCGUUGUUCGGAAUUACUGGGCGUAAAGGGCUCGUAGGCGGCCAACUAAGUCGGACGUGAAAUCCCUCAGCUUAACUGGGAACGUGCGUGUGAUACUGGAUGGCUUGGAUUUGGGAUGAGGAGUGCGGAAUUCCAGGUGUAGCGGUGAAAUGCGUAGAUAUCUGGAGGAACACCAAUGGCGAAGGCAGCUCGCUGGGACGGUACUGACGCUGAGACGCGAAAGCGUGGGGAGCAAACAGGG
rnacentral:rRNA from 1 species